UCAGUGUGGAAUUGUAAAACUCAAUUUCUGGUGAAAAAUAUUUCAUUUUGAUGCCCUCCCUUAAAAGAUAUAAAUUAGGGCUCUGCCCCAUGAUGUACAGUCCCUUUCCACACCGUUGGAGAUCAAGCCAGGCCUUGAGUCUGCGCCUGCAUAUUCCUACGACUUCUCAGAGUCCUCUAGACCUUGACUGAGGUGACAAAACAUGCAGGAAACAAUA